rnacentral:misc_RNA from 1 species
GAUGAAGAACGUAGCGAAAUGCGAUAAGUAAUGUGAAUUGCAGAAUUCAGUGAACCAUCGAAUCUUUGAACGCACAUUGCGCCCGGCAGUAAUCUGCCGGGCAUGCCUGUCCGAGCGUCAUUUCUAUCCUCGAGCGAGUCCAGCAUCUAGGUGCUGGGCCUCGCCCGGCGUUGGAGCACUACGGGAAGCCCUGUGCUGUCCCCCGUAGGCCCCGAAAUGAAGUGGCGGUCCUGCCGCGGCGCCCCCUGCGUAGUAUAACAGCUCGCUUCGGGACCCGGUGGAGGCCUGCCGUCAAACCUAUACUCUCUAAGUUUGACCUCGGAUCAGGUAGGGUUACCCGCUGAACUUAAGCAUAUCAAUAAGCGGAGGA